UACGUAGGGCGCAAGCGUUGUCCGGAAUUAUUGGGCGUAAAGAGCUCGUAGGCGGUCUGUCGCGUCGGCUGUGAAAACUCGGGGGCUCAACUCCGAGCUUGCAGUCGAUACGGGCAGGCUAGAGUUCGGCAGGGGAGACUGGAAUUCCUGGUGUAGCGGUGAAAUGCGUAGAUAUCGGGAGGAACACCUGUGGCGAAAGCGGCUCACUGG
rnacentral:rRNA from 1 species